rnacentral:rRNA from 1 species
GACGAACGCUGGCGGCGUGCUUAACACAUGCAAGUCGAACGGAAAGGCCCUGCUUUUGUGGGGUGCUCGAGUGGCGAACGGGGGAGUAAAACGCGAGGAACCUGCACUUGACUGUGGGAUAACUUCAGGAAACUGGGGCUAAUACAGGAUAGGAGCUCCUGCUGCAUGGGGGGGGUUGGAAAGUUUCGGCGGUUGGGGAUGGACUCGCGGCUUAUCAGCUUGUUGGUGGGGUAGUGGCUUACCAAGGCUUUGACGGGUAGCCGGCCUGAGAGGGUGACCGGCCACAUUGGGACUGAGAUACGGCCCAGACUCCUACGGGAGGCAGCAGUGGGGAAUAUUGCACAAUGGGCGGAAGCCUGAUGCAGCAACGCCGCGUGCGGGAUGACGGCCUUCGGGUUGUAAACCGCUUUCGCCUGUGACGAAGCGUGAGUGACGGUAAUGGGUAAAGAAGCACCGGCUAACUACGUG